rnacentral:sRNA from 1 species
GCUGGGUGUGGCUGGUGCACGCCUGUGAUUCCAGAGGCUCAGGAGGCUGAGGCAGGAGGAUUGCACGUUCAAGGCCAGCCUCAGCAACUUAGCAAGACCCUGUCUCAA